rnacentral:rRNA from 1 species
CCUACGGGCGGCAGCAGUAGGGAAUUUUCGUCAAUGGGCGCAAGCCUGAACGAGCGAUGCCGCGUGAGUGAAGAAGGCCUUCGGGUCGUAAAGCUCUGUUGCGGGGGAAAAAAGGUAGCAUCAGGAAAUGGGUGCUGACUGAUGGUGCCCCACCAGAAAGUCACGGCUAACUACGUGCCAGCAGCCGCGGUAAUACGUAGGGGGCGAGCGUUAUCCGGAAUGAUUGGGCGUAAAGGUUGCGCAGGCGGUCCUGCAAGUCUGGAGUGAAACGGAUGAGCUCAACUCAUGAAUUGCUUUGGAAACUGGAGGACUGGAGAGCAGGAGAGGUAGGAGGAAUUCGUGGUGUAGCGGUGAAAUGCGUAGAUA